UCAGCAAUACUGUGUGCAGUGAUAUUACAGAGUCAAUUCCUCUUCCUGCUUCUCCUUUAUCCAGCGACACAUAUGCUGUUGGUGUUGAACACAUUUCAAUAAGUGUUCCAGUGCCUUCUGAAUGUGAACAGCCAGUUCCUUCUCUACUUCUACCUCUACCUCUGCAAUCUGAUGAUGCAGAUAAACCAACCACUGACAUAACAGGAUUACAAAAACACCUUGUGAGUGUUUCUUUGUCAAGUGAUUUUGAAGAACCAAUCGUUCCUGCUUUUUCAUCUGUACCACCUCCUCUUUCACCUGAAGGGCAUAACAAUCUACAGGUUGAUGUGACAGACUUCCAGGAACUUGUGAGAGAGGGGAAGCCUCG